GACGGACGCUGGCGGCGUGCUUAACACAUGCAAGUCGAACGGAAAGGCCCUGCUUUUGUGGGGUGCUCGAGUGGCGAACGGGUGAGUAACACGUGAGUAACCUGCCCUUGACUUUGGGAUAACUUCAGGAAACUGGGGCUAAUACCGGAUAGGAGCUCCUGCUGCAUGGUGGGGGUUGGAAAGUUUCGGCGGUUGGGGAUGGACUCGCGGCUUAUCAGCUUGUUGGUGGGGUAGUGGCUUACCAAGGCUUUGACGGGUAGCCGGCCUGAGAGGGUGACCGGCCACAUUGGGACUGAGAUACGGCCCAGACUCCUACGGGAGGCAGCAGUGGGGAAUAUUGCACAAUGGGCGGAAGCCUGAUGCAGCAACGCCGCGUGCGGGAUGACGGCCUUCGGGUUGUAAACCGCUUUCGCCUGUGACGAAGCGUGAGUGACGGUAAUGGGUAAAGAAGCACCGGCUAACCACGUG
rnacentral:rRNA from 1 species